GAUGAACGCUGGCGGCGUGCCUAAUACAUGCAAGUCGAGCGAACAGACGAGGAGCUUGCUCCUCUGACGUUAGCGGCGGACGGGUGAGUAACACGUGGAUAACCUACCUAUAAGACUGGGAUAACUUCGGGAAACCGGAGCUAAUACCGGAUAACAUGUUGAACCGCAUGGUUCAACAGUGAAAGACGGUCUUGCUGUCACUUAUAGAUGGAUCCGCGCCGCAUUAGCUAGUUGGUAAGGUAACGGCUUACAAAGGCAACGAUGCGUAGCCGACCUGAGAGGGUGAUCGGCCACACUGGAACUGAGACACGGUCCAGACUCCUACGGGAGGCAGCAGUAGGGAAUCUUCCGCAAUGGGCGAAAGCCUGACGGAGCAACGCCGCGUGAGUGAUGAAGGUCUUCGGAUCGUAAAACUCUGUUAUUAGGGAAGAACAAAUGUGUAAGUAACUAUGCACGUCUUGACGGUACCUAAUCAGAAAGCCGCGGCUAACUACGUG
rnacentral:rRNA from 1 species